GUCGCAGAUUCGAAGCCGCAGGUGACAUUGAAUUCCAUUCUGCACCCUGAACUGGAGGGGAUCUGGAGUGGUCAAUCCGUUAAAAAGAUUGAUAGCAAAGGGUCUCCUCAGCAAAUAUGAUAGUCAUAUCAUUAGCGUCCAGGUUAUGAGAGGCAGUCUCGGUUGUUUUAAACAGUUCAUGUACCUGAGCGGGUUUUCCCGAGAUUGGACUUAGCUAAAUCGUUUGGUUCAAAACAUUUGCUUGCUGUCUUGGCAUAACAUCAAUAAAGGCAUAAACAUCGCAAAAUAAUGGUUAUAAUUAAAUGGCUAUGAGGAUGGUUUUAGUACGUAGGCGUUGCGGAACUUCGGUUCAUAUAGAGCAAUGAAUCGUGCAUGCUAGGAAAACUGACCACACACAGUGUUGGCAGACCUAGUAUCUUUCGAAGAUUUCCAUACCUCCGCGAUCAAAAAAAAAAAAAAAAAAAAUAGCCAAAUGCCUCGUCAUCUAAUUAGUGACGCGCAUGAAUGAAUGGAUUAACGAGAUUCCUACUGUCCCUAUCUACUAUCUAGCGAAACCACAGCCAAGGGAACGGGCUUGGAAUAAUUAGCGGGGAAAGAAGACCUUUUGAGCUUGACUCUAAUCUGGCAGUGUAAGGAGACAUAAGAGGUGUAGAAUAAGUGGGAGAUAUUAGACCUCGGUUUGGUAUCGUCAAUGAAAUACCACUACUCUUAUUGUUUCCUUACUUACUUGAUUAAAUGGAACGUGUAUCAUUUCCUAGCCAUUAUACGGAUAUAUUUAUUAUAUCUUAUGGUAUUGGGUUUUGAUGCAAGCUUCUUGAUCAAAGUAUCACGAGUUUGUUAUAUAAUCGCAAACAAAUUCUUUAAUAAAACGAUGCAUUUAUGUAUUUUUGAUUUGAAAAUUUGGUAUAACUCCAAUUACUCAGGUAUGAUCCAAUUCAAGGACAUUGCCAGGUAGGGAGUUUGACUGGGGCGGUACAUCUCUCAAAUAAUAACGGAGGUGUCCCAAGGCCAGCUCAGUGCGGACAGAAACCACACAUAGAGCAAAAGGGCAAAUGCUGACUUGAUCUCGGUGUUCAGUACACACAGGGACAGCAAAAGCUCGGCCUAUCGAUCCUUUUGGUUUAAAGAGUUUUUAACAAGAGGUGUCAGAAAAGUUACCAUAGGGAUAACUGGCUUGUGGCGGCCAAGCGUUCAUAGCGACGUCGCUUUUUGAUCCUUCGAUGUCGGUCUUCCUAUCAUUGUGAAGCAAAAUUCACCAAGCGUUGGAUUGUUCACCCAUGCAAGGGAACGUGAGCUGGGUUUAGACCGUCGUGAGACAGGUUAGUUUUACCCUACUAAUGACAAAACGUUGUUGCGACAGCAUUCCUGCGUAGUACGAGAGGAACCGCAGGUACGGACCAAUGGCACAAUACUUGUUCGAGCGAACAGUGGUAUGACGCUACGUCCGUUGGAUUAUGCCUGAACGCCUCUAAGGUCGUAUCCGUGCUGGACUGCAAUGAUAAAUAAGGGGCAAUUUGCAUUGU
rnacentral:rRNA from 1 species